rnacentral:rRNA from 1 species
ACGUAGGGUGCAAGCGUUAAUCGGAAUUACUGGGCGUAAAGCGUGCGCAGGCGGUUUUGUAAGUCUGUCGUGAAAGCCCCGGGCUCAACCUGGGAAUUGCGAUGGAGACUGCAAGGCUAGAGUGUGUCAGAGGGGGGUAGAAUUCCACGUGUAGCAGUGAAAUGCGUAGAUAUGUGGAGGAACACCGAUGGCGAAGGCAGCCCCCUGGGAUAACACUGACGCUCAUGCACGAAAGCGUGGGGAGCAAACAGGA